CUUGACGGGGCUCUGAGGCGAUUCUCCGUCUGGGCGAACGCUCUACAGCAUCGCCUAAUCAACGAGAUCUCGGUUGCCAGUGGCAAUAAAUCGGCGAGGCUGCCUCUUACACAUCUAGCUGUCGAUUAUCUGCGGUCGUAUCAAGACCGAGUCGCGGCGGUUGGCAGUUCCAUCAAACCGACCACAGGGAUUAAACACACUAGGGAAUAUUUCAGCUAAACGGACACGAAACCUGGAAAAAACCAUACAUACGAAAACAUAACGUGUUUAAAUCGUGCAAAUCCUUUCCGUCCAGAUAGCCUAGACUCAAGCUGACUUGAAUGAAUCACUUAGGACUUUGUAGCUAGUCUACGGAUAAUACUAGCGAUCCUCAGCGAGCCGUUAUCGUGAGAGGUAAUGCUCUCAGGGAUGAUCUCAAUACGCAUGCGUAGUCGUGCACAUAUGGCUCUUAAAUGACGGCCGCUUAUAUUAUACUGCAUUAAUACUGCACUGAUAUUCGAGAGUUUCAAAUCGUUUUUGAAUGAGUUAUGCUAAAUUAGGAAUGUCUUGUGCCAUUUUUCAAAGAUUUGGAGGUCAUCUAAAUACGAAUUUGGGAUUGACAUGUCGGGUGCACGGAGGUGUCGAAAUAUUCGGAGACUUUCCACGUAUGCAAAUGGGGGAAAGGAGAAGGCCGGUCCCAGGCAGAAAACCUAUCUAGAAAUAGAAAAAAAAAAUACACCCACAUUUAGAAAUUAAAAAGAAAUCUAAAUUAAUCUAGAGCGCUAAAGAAACUCAAGCAAACUUUUAAAAGCAGUAAAAGGUAUGUGCAAUAACUAAUUCUUUGUUUAUACACAUAGUACUCGCCAUCAAUAGCGAAAAGCACAGAGGAAAACAAAGAAACGAAACGAUCGAAUUGCGCAAUUAAAGCCAGAAGCAGCUUGAGAACGACUUCACCUUACCUAGCAACGAUUAAGUGUAUCUCCGCGCAUUUCAGGGCCAUCUGGGUUGCUUUCCCCGAUAAUAAAUGUAAAGGAGCCUCGUCUCCACAGCGAAGUAUUUGGAAAAAGGCACUUAGAGCUUGGAUGAUAAACUAUUGUGUCUGCGUUUUAAUAAAAACAGAAUGCGCAGACA